CCAGAUUCGACGUGUCAGCUGUCAUUCAUAAGCGGUUGUCAAGACAGUCGAUGUGAAAGCACCAACGUGGCUUCACUGUAAUGAAAGAACUCACAACUGCAAUCAUGGGGAAGACUGCUGACUUGACUCCUGUCCAGAAGACAAUCAUUGAUCCCCUUCUCAAGGAGGGACUUGGUACCUGCCCACAGGGGCACCAGAAAGUGGUUUGCUCACAAUGGUAUUGCUGUGUUUGAUUGGCUAGCCAACUGGUCUGAUCUGAACCCCAUGGAGAAUCUCUGAAGAAAUGUCGAGGAAAGAUGAGAGAACCAGACUCAACAAUACAGAUGAGCUGAAGGCUGCUAUGAGAGCAACCUGGGAUUCAUAACACCCUAUAGGUGUCCCAGGCUGAAUGGCUCCAUGCCACAUCACAGUGAUGCAGUAAUUUGUGCAAAAGGAGCUCCAACCAAUUACU